UAACGGACACCCAAGCGGCGCAGGCGGCGCCGCGGCAGGCAGGCCCCCAUAUAGAGGCGACUUGCUGCCGUGGCGAUCCAAGUGCGAGACAGAGCAGACAGGCGAGGGCCAAGUAACUGAAGCGGCCGGCAAGGUUUUGCCCCCAAUCCCUCAUCCCCACCCACGCACAUCGCCGCCGCCACUCCCUCCCUCCACCAAACCCCUGCCGCCGUCGCCACAGCAGCGUAGCCUCCGGAUGGCGAGCGCCUCCGGCCCCGUCGGCGGGUUGCAGAAGAAGGAGAUCGCGGAUGCGGAGAUGGAGCCGCCGGAGGAGGCGGCGGGGCGGCCGGUGGGGCUGAAGAGGGCUAGGAGCGCGGCAAUCGGCAACGGCUCUUGCGGUUUUAUUGGAGUGACUACUGCUGAGAAGAAACCAACACUGCAGCCUCAUAACAAUGUCAAAUUUCUGAAGAAAGCUGCCAAUGGCAAUCUUCUACGUCCUGAUAUUGAAGCUACUUCUAAAACAGGAGGUCUUUAUCUGCAUGAUACGCAUGGAUCACAGAAACUGCCAGAUUCCAAUGCUUUGAGAUUUAGUAGCUCAUCUCCUGUUGGAGACCUGAGGAGCAAAACCAAAACCCCUAUAUGUACCUUUUACGCUCAAGGCCAUUGCAAGAGAGGAAAGAAGUGCGCUUUUCGUCAUGAAAGAGAGGGUCCUGGUUUUGGUAACCUGCGGAGUGAAGAAGAAAAGGCUGGUUCACUUGCACCAGUUGGUACUGGAAAACAUAGAGGGUCUGAAGAAGGAUCUGAAGCACAAUGUUUAUCCAAUUUGAAAGAUCCACACUUCGAGAACUUUGCUGCUUCGUCGAAACAUGGGCUAUAUAGGACCCUCAUUCAGUCUUAUGGCGAAGAUCAUAGGGUGGUGGCACAUAACUCGCCGACCCCCAAGGUUUCAGAGGAGAGUUCUUGCAGAACUGAUGAUUUAUGGACUGCAAAGCCUACCCCUCCUGUAAAUGAGCUGGUGCAGAUCCCAAUAGUUCAAGAGAAGAAUCAUGAACCUUACUUCAUGGGACGCCAUGCUAGUUUGCCUUCUGAUAGCUACUUGGAUGGUAGGGGAACCUUACCCAGAUUGCAUUUAGAUGGAGGAAAGCUGCUGUCAGAUGCUGCCAAAGCAAGCAGCCUAAGUGAUUCUCAUAUAUCAGGACCUUACCUUGAAGUGCACCCGGUACAUCCUGAUUAUCGGUAUCGACCGUUUGACUAUCUCCAAAGGUCAAGCCUUGCCUCAUACAGUUCAAAUAGUACAACAGGGUUCAGAAAUCCGGUCCACAAUAGCUCUGAUUAUUCCUUGGGUAGUCAACCUUUCCGAGCAACUGCUCACCUAGGAAUGCCGUCCCUCCAUCAGUUAACACCUGGUAUCGAGAAGGUUGGUCUCCAUAAAGAUGUUAUAUUUGACAAGGGCUGUGGUACAUCUAGGCCUGCUUUACUUGGAAGCAGUUCACCUCAACCUGGGCAACUUUCCCCAAUCAAGGACGAGCCUUGGAUAACUUCAGUGCCUUUUGUACCUCUUGUUGAUUUUCCUGGCAGCACAUCACCUUCAUAUAGUCAAUAUGACCCGCUUGUUGACAGUAUGGACCUUUCCAAAGUUAAAGGUAUUAAUAUUCUCAAGUCCUCGAACAUAUCUUGCAGCACUUCAAGUCAGCACACUACUGGGAAUGUUGUUAUAGAUGGAGAUACCAACAAGUCAAUGAAUUACGAUGACAAAUUGGCAAGGAAUAUGUCAGCCAAAGGGUCAAAUGAGUUUGCAGGCCUUGUUGCACCUGAUAGGGAACGCUCUGGUCUGGAUGGUGAUACUAUGGUGAAAGCUUCUGAAAGAGAAAAUGAUGCAGCAAUUACUGAGAAAACAAGAGAUUUUCGUUUUCAUUUGGCAGAACAUGUGAAGGAGUUGCUGAAACCAUUUUGGAAAGAAGGCAAUCUGAAUAAAGAUGCUCAUAAACUGAUAGUGAAAAAAUCCGUCGAUAAAGUUCUUGCUUCAGUUGAGCUGCAUCAAGUACCAGCUACUAAAGAAUUGAUAACUGAUUAUAUAACCAUGGCUGGAACAAAGAUUGAAAAACUUGUGAAGGCAUAUGUUGAUAAGCAUCGUAUGAAAUGAGAUCCAAAUUAUGAGCUACACCACCAUAGACAUGGGGUUUCAGCCAGAUGCCUUUCCAAUGUGAUUAAUCUACAGUGCAAUGUUGUUAGACCCGAUCAGUUUUUGUGGGCAUAGUAGAUAUUUCCUAGUAAGAUUGGCGGAGCUAAAAGGAGGAACAAACAUGAUAUGUGCUGGAGGUAGCUCAAUCACUUGUUUCCAUAAGUGGGCACUUCUCCAUAGAUUGGCGGAGCUAAAAGGAGGAACAAACAUGAUAUGUGCUGGAGAUGCCAUCAAGAUUGCUUAGGAUGAAGAUUAUAUGGAAGAGCUUUGUCAAAAACGAGUUCAUUACAUCGCCAAAGCCACCUGAAGUGAAGUGGACUCAGGGAAGCCUUAAUUUUUGCUUCUUUAAGGAUGCCAGAUAUUAAGGUUGUCCUUUGUGCCUGUUGCUUUCCUCAUUUUAUCAUCACUGAUGAAAUCAAUGAGAGCUAGCAUAACAUGAAUGCAGGAUCUUAAAAUGGCUACAGACAAAGAUGCGCAUUUCACGGUUCUUCUGACAAAUUUCUACGGACCAAGCAACACGUUUGCUACUGCUCGCUGCUCAUUCGAGGACUUUUGUGGUCAAACUGUUCAUUAGCUCUAAAGCUAUCCGGAUUCAGGAUGUGCUCUUUUAUUCUGCAGAGUUUCUUUUUUAGUUAUGUUUCUGGGAGUUGGACGGUGCUGCUAGUCGAGAUGAUAUCUGAAAAAGAAACAUUCGGAUUCAAAGAAGUCUCGCUGUCUUGCUUCAUUUAUUCGUAUGCAUGUGACAUGAUCCGGGGGCAUUGAACACCAAAGCUAGUCCGGUGGCAGAUAUAGCUGUUUAUUGUGAAACUUCAGUGGAUGCUGCACUUGCAAUCUAUGACCAGGCGAAGCCCUGUUCGUUCUUUCUUUCUUUCAGAUUGGCACUGUGCACAUUGUGCAAAAACUGCAAACUGUAGUGCACAGAUCAAGCCCAAGCUCGUUUUGUUGUCUUAGUUGCCGUUGGUGCUGUGAAGCAUCAUCUGCUAUAACAGAGAUCGGUGGUGACGAUGUAUGCUGUUUUCAAGUCUGAGAGAUUGCUUCAGCUGUGAUCCUACUCCUAGUUAGCAGAUGUAAAUCGAAAUUCGCUGCUCCCUCCAGCCCAAAUUAUUUGGCGUGGCUAUAUACUAUGUUCAGUAUAAAUGUACUGUUAUGCCGUGUCAAUGAAUAACGGCUAGAGGGUGUACAUGUUUAUUGUUCAAUUGAAACGACCCCAGUCCAUUUA